GUAUGCGUUGUAAUGGCCUAAAAUUACAAAAAUACUUAAUAUCUAUUAUAAUUACUAAUGUGAAAAUUUAAUAGAAUCAAUCAGUUAAAAAUUAAAAGAAAUUAUUAAAGAAUGUCAAAUUUGGUAAAUUCUUGGUUUGGCUUGAUUUAGAAAAGAGUUUGAUAAGCCAACGAUCCUUGUAAACCGUCUUGAUAUGAUCCCUGUUGCUUUGCCACCAAAGAUGGCAUCCAUGAAAGAGCUUGCUGAGCUCAAGCUCAUUUCCUAGUGUCCUUGGCCUCUCUUCUUUAUUAUUGAUCCUAAAUUUUGCCCUCUCUAUCAGAUUAACCUAUGUGCUCAUCUUUAACAUUUGGCAUACCUAUUCCAACGACUGAAUCACUUUGUUUAUACACUUGUGCACUCAGCUCUUAAUCCUCCUAGGUACUAGCUCCAAGUU